CCCUGGUUAGCUCAGUUGAUAGAACGCUCCACUGUGAACGGAGAGGUCCCGGGCUCGAUACCCGAACCAGGCG
rnacentral:tRNA from 2 species